UACGUAGGGCGCAAGCGUUGUCCGGAAUUAUUGGGCGUAAAGAGCUCGUAGGCGGUUUGUCGCGUCUGCCGUGAAAGUCCGGGGCUUAACCCCGGAUCUGCGGUGGGUACGGGCAGACUAGAGUGCAGUAGGGGAGACUGGAAUUCCUGGUGUAGCGGUGAAAUGCGCAGAUAUCAGGAGGAACACCGAUGGCGAAGGCAGGUCUCUGGGCUGUAACUGACGCUGAGGAGCGAAAGCAUGGGGAGCAAACAGG
rnacentral:rRNA from 1 species